rnacentral:rRNA from 1 species
UACGUAGGGUGCAAGCGUUAUCCGGAAUUAUUGGGCGUAAAGAGCUCGUAGGCGGUUUGUCGCGUCUGCUGUGAAAACUGGGGGCUCAACCCCCAGCCUGCAGUGGGUACGGGCAGACUAGAGUGCGGUAGGGGAGAUUGGAAUUCCUGGUGUAGCAGUGGAAUGCGCAGAUAUCAGGAGGAACACCGAUGGCGAAGGCAGAUCUCUGGGCCGUAACUGACGCUGAGGAGCGAAAGCAUGGGGAGCGAACAGG